UACGGAGGAUCCGAGCGUUAUCCGGAUUUAUUGGGUUUAAAGGGUGCGCUGGCGGGAGAUUAAGUAGGCGGUGAAAUUUUGCAGCUCAACUGUAAAAGUGCCUUCGAAACUGGUUUCCUUGAGUGUAGAUGAAGUAGGCGGAAUUUGUGGUGUAGCGGUGAAAUGCAUAGAUAUCACGAGGAACUCCGAUUGCGCAGGCAGCUUACUAAACUACUACUGACGCUCAGGCACGAAGGCGUGGGGAUCAAACAGGAUUAGAUACCCUGGUA
rnacentral:rRNA from 1 species